UUUAACUGAAGAGUUUGAUCAUGGCUCAGAUUGAACGCUGGCGGCAGGCUUAACACAUGCAA
rnacentral:rRNA from 2 species